AAUGGUGUUUAUCACAUUUGUUUUGUUGCUGUCUUGUGGACGAAUACUUAAAUUUCCGUGUCAUCACCAAACAUAUUUAUGGCUAUAUAUCGGGUAAUUCAAACACUUGUUUCUUCGCAUAGAAACAACUAUUCGUGAGUCUGAGCAUGGAACGAAUACUUUAUAUCACGAACUAUAAAUGUGGAUACAAAAAUUGAAAAACUAAGCAAAAUUGUUAAUCCCGCAUUGCACGAAAAAAUGUGUUGUAUUUCAGUAAAUAACACGUGUUCUUGUUCGAUUGUAAGCACGUAGUAGUCCAUCAUGCAUUGUUGCUCAUUUAGUGGAUUGGUCAAAACCCCAGGUAAAAAUAAAUUGCGUCACACGUAAAUAAAAAAUUAAAUGUGCGAGAACAUAAAUAUGCUAAUUUAUGCAUUGUCAUAUAAGGUAGUGUUCCCG
rnacentral:lncRNA from 1 species